UACGUAGGGACCGAGCGUUGUCCGGAAUCAUUGGGCGUAAAGAGCGUGUAGGCGGCCACUUAAGUCCUGCGUGAAAUCUUGCGGCUCAACCGCAAGCGGUCGUGGGAAACUGGGUGGCUAGAGUGCGGGAGAGGAGAGUGGAAUUCCUGGUGUAGCGGUGGAAUGCGCAGAUAUCAGGAAGAACACCCGUGGCGAAGGCGGCUUUCUGGACCAUUGCUGACGCUGAGACACGAAAGCGUGGGUAGCAAACAGG
rnacentral:rRNA from 1 species